ACACAUGCAAGUCGAGCGGAUGAAGAGANCUUGCUCUCUGAUUCAGCGGCGGACGGGUGAAUAAUGCCUANGAAUCUGCCUGGUANUGGGGGACAACGUCUCNAAAGGGACGCU
rnacentral:rRNA from 1 species